CAAGUCGAACGAACUCUGGUAUUGAUUGGUGCUUGCAUCAUGAUUUACAUUUGAGUGAGUGGCGAACUGGUGAGUAACACGUGGGAAACCUGCCCAGAAGCGGGGGAUAACACCUGGAAACAGAUGCUAAUACCGCAUAACAACUUGGACCGCAUGGUCCGAGUUUGAAAGAUGGCUUCGGCUAUCACUUUUGGAUGGUCCCGCGGCGUAUUAGCUAGAUGGUGGGGUAACGGCUCACCAUGGCAAUGAUACGUAGCCGACCUGAGAGGGUAAUCGGCCACAUUGGGACUGAGACACGGCCCAAACUCCUACGGGAGGCAGCAGUAGGGAAUCUUCCACAAUGGACGAAAGUCUGAUGGAGCAACGCCGCGUGAGUGAAGAAGGGUUUCGGCUCGUAAAACUCUGUUGUUAAAGAAGAACAUAUCUGAGAGUAACUGUUCAGGUAUUGACGGUAUUUAACCAGAAAGCCACGGCUAACUACGUGCCAGCAGCCGCGGUAAUACGUAGGUGGCAAGCGUUGUCCGGAUUUAUUGGGCGUAAAGCGAGCGCAGGCGGUUUUUUAAGUCUGAUGUGAAAGCCUUCGGCUCAACCGAAGAAGUGCAUCGGAAACUGGGAAACUUGAGUGCAGAAGAGGACAGUGGAACUCCAUGUGUAGCGGUGAAAUGCGUAGAUAUAUGGAAGAACACCAGUGGCGAAGGCGGCUGUCUGGUCUGUAACUGACGCUGAGGCUCGAAAGUAUGGGUAGCAAACAGGAUUAGAUACCCUGGUAGUCCAUACCGUAAACGAUGAAUGCUAAGUGUUGGAGGGUUUCCGCCCUUCAGUGCUGCAGCUAACGCAUUAAGCAUUCCGCCUGGGGAGUACGGCCGCAAGGCUGAAACUCAAAGGAAUUGACGGGGGCCCGCACAAGCGGUGGAGCAUGUGGUUUAAUUCGAAGCUACGCGAAGAACCUUACCAGGUCUUGACAUACUAUGCAAAUCUAAGAGAUUAGACGUUCCCUUCGGGGACAUGGAUACAGGUGGUGCAUGGUUGUCGUCAGCUCGUGUCGUGAGAUGUUGGGUUAAGUCCCGCAACGAGCGCAACCCUUAUUAUCAGUUGCCAGCAUUAAGUUGGGCACUCUGGUGAGACUGCCGGUGACAAACCGGAGGAAGGUGGGGAUGACGUCAAAUCAUCAUGCCCCUUAUGACCUGGGCUACACACGUGCUACAAUGGAUGGUACAACGAGUUGCGAACUCGCGAGAGUAAGCUAAUCUCUUAAAGCCAUUCUCAGUUCGGAUUGUAGGCUGCAACUCGCCUACAUGAAGUCGGAAUCGCUAGUAAUCGCGGAUCAGCAUGCCGCGGUGAAUACGUUCCCGGGCCUUGUACACACCGCCCGUCACACCAUGAGAGUUUGUAACACCCAAAGUCGGUGGGGUAACCUUUUAGGAACCAGCCGCCUAAGGU
rnacentral:rRNA from 1 species